AAUGAACGCUGGCGGCAUGCCUAACACAUGCAAGUCGAACGAGACCUCCGGAACUGCUGGCUCAUGGGUGUGUCGCGUGUCGGAAGCUGGACGUAGACUCCGAAAAAUACUUCGUCUUGGGUGCUAAUGUCGGUAAAUGUCUGCGAAUAAAAGAUUUAUCGUCUGUGGGUGGGCACGCGUUGGAUUAGCUUUGUGGGAGGGUAAAAGCCUAUCACGGCGACGAUCCAUAGCUGGUCUGAGAGGCUGAUCAGCGACACUGGGACUGAGCUACGGCCCAGACUCCUACGCGAGGCAGCAGUGGGUAAUAUUGCAAAAUGGGGGAAAGCCUGAUCCAGCAAGGCCUCGUGAGUGAUGAAGGCCUGAGGGUUAUAAAGCUCUUUUACCCGGGAUGAUAAUGACGGUACCGGAAGAAUAAGCUCCGGCUAACUCCGUG
rnacentral:rRNA from 1 species